UCCAAAACAGGCCCCCAAGCCCCCACCUGCUAUAUAUGAACACCCUACACCUUCAUUUUCGGAAACCCUAGCCCCUAGCCCUUCUUCUCCACUGCCCCGCCACCACAUGUCCUCCACUAGCCGCCACCUGCGCUGCCCUACCACCGCCAUGAUCUGGAACAUUAAAUGUAGAUCAAACGUCUCCUACGCUUCCCCGUAGAGCCCCACUCCAUCGCGGUCCGCUCAAGCCCGGGCGAGGCACGCGUAGGCCAUACGUUGUCGCCCACGUGCUGCUCGUCGCCAAGCCGCCCCCAUCGAUCCAGGAUCGAGGGGAUAUCAAUCCUUGGCGCCCAACCUCGAGUGCCCUCUCCCCGUGUCCAGCCGGCCGGCGAGCCGUCAGAGCAGCAGCGCCACCAGAGGUACCUUCCAUGUCUGCCCUACUAGCUCCGAAACUCCGCCGCUGCGCCAAGGUUCCCCACCGCUCGACCAGAUCUGGCUUCCCCCGGUCCCGAUCCGUCCAUCCCCGCUGGUCUCCGACCUCCACCGUCCUGCCUCAGGCUCGCCAUCCCUCCAUGCCUCUACCUUUCUUGGCCUCCUCGUAGGAGGGAGACGAUGAGCGAGCUCGCAUGCUCGCAUGCUCGCUUGGGCCUACCUCCCUUGCUGUCGGCCUCGGCCCGCCUCUAUGCCUCCGGCCCAACGACGAGCUCGACCGCCUCCCUGACAGGGCCAAGAGCCCAUGGUGAGCGCGCCUCUCCAAUUCCUCACCCAGGCGCUACAUUGCUAUCGUGUGCCCAUCGUUUGUAGCCCGCUAUUGUACAUUCGACCCGAGUAUAUAUUUUUUCCUAUGUUUGCGAUUUAACAAUUACUAGUAAAUACGUCCGUGCGUUGCUACGGGGCAUUUUCUGGAGCAUGGGUUGGAAAAGUCAAGAAGUUGCACUCAUGUGUUUGAACGAUGCCUUCUUUAGAUACGCACUGCCCUCGGGUGGAAGGGUUGUAAUAUAGGAAAGGGUGUACAAUGAAGUUUGACCGGGUGCUUUAUUCCGGAAUUUGGAACGUAUUCUUUGAGUAUUUAGUUAUUGCACCCGUCAAUGAUACUCCAUUUGUUCCAAAUUAUGGGGAGUUAUAACCUUUUUUCUUAAUUAGAUGUAUAUAGACGUGUUUUAAUGUGUUUCUUCAUUCAUUUCAGUUUGUAUGUAGUCUACAUUAAAAUAUCGAAAACAUCUUAUAUUAGUGAAAGGGGUACAUCAUUGUAACAU